rnacentral:rRNA from 1 species
CAGCAGCCGCGGUAAUACGUAGGGUGCAAGCGUUAAUCGGAAUUACUGGGCGUAAAGCGUGCGCAGGCGGUUAUAUAAGUCAGAUGUGAAAUCCCCGGGCUCAACCUGGGAACUGCAUUUGAGACUGUAUGGCUAGAGUGUGUCAGAGGGGGGUAGAAUUCCACGUGUAGCAGUGAAAUGCGUAGAUAUGUGGAGGAAUACCGAUGGCGAAGGCAGCCCCCUGGGAUAACACUGACGCUCAUGCACGAAAGCGUGGGGAGCAAACAGGAUUAGAUACCCGCGUAGUCCCUGUCUCUUAUAC